CCUACGGGAGGCAGCAGUGGGGAAUAUUGGACAAUGGGCGAAAGCCUGAUCCAGCAAUGCCGCGUGAGUGAUGAAGGCCUUAGGGUCGUAAAGCUCUUUUACCCGGGAUGAUAAUGACAGUACCGGGAGAAUAAGCCCCGGCUAACUCCGUGCCAGCAGCCGCGGUAAUACGGAGGGGGCUAGCGUUGUUCGGAAUUACUGGGCGUAAAGCGUGCGUAGGCGGUUAUUCAAGUCAGAGGUGAAAGCCCGGGGCUCAACCCCGGAACGGCCUUUGAAACUAGGUAGCUAGAAUCUUGGAGAGGUCAGUGGAAUUCCGAGUGUAGAGGUGAAAUUCGUAGAUAUUCGGAAGAACGCCAGUGGCGAAGGCGACUGACUGGACAAGUAUUGACGCUGAGGCACGAAAGCGUGGGGAGCAAACAGGAUUAGAUACCCUGGUAGUCCACGCCGUAAACGAUGAUAACUAGCUGUUCGGGUACUUGGUAUCUGAGUGGCGCAGCUAACGCAUUAAGUUAUCCGCCUGGGGAGUACGGUCGCAAGAAUAAACUANAAAGAUGACG
rnacentral:rRNA from 1 species